UACGUAGGUGGCGAGCGUUGUCCGGAAUUACUGGGUGUAAAGCGCGUGUAGGCGGCAGGCCAAGUCGGGUGGUGAAAGCGCCCGGCUCAACUGGGCGAGGUCCAUGGAAACUGGUCAGCUGGAGGACGGUAGAGGCGAGUGGAAUUCCCGGUGUAGUGGUGAAAUGCGUAGAGAUCGGGAGGAACACCUGUGGCGAAGGCGGCUCGCUGGGACGGUACUGACGCUAAGGCGCGAAAGCGUGGGGAGCGAACAGG
rnacentral:rRNA from 1 species